UCCGAAGGGGGCUAGCGUUGUUCGGAUUUACUGGGCGUAAAGCGCACGUAGGCGGAUCGUUAAGUCAGGGGUGAAAUCCUGGAGCUCAACUCCAGAACUGCCUUUGAUACUGAAGAUCUUGAGUCCGGGAGAGGUGAGUGGAACUGCGAGUGUAGAGGUGAAAUUCGUAGAUAUUCGCAAGAACACCAGUGGCGAAGGCGGCUCACUGGCCCGGUACUGACGCUGAGACGCGAAAGCGUGGGGAGCAAACAGG
rnacentral:rRNA from 1 species